UAGGGAAUUUUCGGCAAUGGGGGAAACCCUGACCGAGCAAUGCCGCGUGAACGAUGAAGGUCUUCGGAUUGUAAAGUUCUGUUGUUAAGGAAGAACUAUAUGAUUAGGAAAUGAGUCAUAUUUGACGGUACUUAACUAGAAAGCCCCGGCUAACUAUGUGCCAGCAGCCGCGGUAAUACAUAGGGGGCAAGCGUUAUCCGGAAUUAUUGGGCGUAAAGCGUGCGUAGGCGGUUUAUUAAGUCUGAUGUUAAAUCCCACAGCUUAACUGUGGUUGGUCAUUGGAAACUGGUAAACUUGAGUACAGUAGGGGUAAGUGGAAUUCCAAGUGGAGCGGUGGAAUGCGUAGAUAUUUGGAGGAACACCAGUGGCGAAGGCGGCUUACUGGGCUGGAACUGACGCUGAGGCACGAAAGCGUGGGGAGCAAACAGG
rnacentral:rRNA from 2 species